rnacentral:rRNA from 1 species
ACGGAGGGGGCGAGCGUUGUCCGGAAUUACUGGGUGUAAAGGGCGUGUAGCCGGGAAAGCAAGUCAGAUGUGAAAACUAUGGGCUCAACCCAUAGCCUGCAUUUGAAACUGUUUUUCUUGAGUGUCGGAGAGGUAAUCGGAAUUCCGUGUGUAGCGGUGAAAUGCGUAGAUAUACGGAGGAACACCAGUGGCGAAGGCGGAUUACUGGACGAUAACUGACGCUGAGGCGCGAAAGCGUGGGGAGCAAACA